CUCAGAUGCGUGAGCGUGAGUCAAUCGGCCACCAACACCUCGCCUCGCCUCCCCUGCCCACGGUCCGCCUGCCUCUGUAUCCAUCCACGUCUGCUUCCAUGCCCUCGCCCCGGCGCCCCUCCUCCUUCCCGGUCCCGCACGCGAUGCCCCGCCGUGACAGCCGCCGCCCCAUCAACGGCCUCGCCCUCCUUCCUCCACCGUCCCGCUCGCACGAAUCUCGUUCGCAGCGACGCUAUCGCGGGCCUGUGGUGCAAGGAGACCGCCACGCUCGCUGUCGGGGCUUCCGCGCUCUCCUCCUGGCAUGAUGGUGGUACUCGUCUAAUGGGGCUCGCACCGUCAGGGCCUCCGCGCUCUCCUCCCGGUGAUGCCAUAUGCCGUCGUUAAGGGCAAGUUUCCUGUAUUCCAGUUGCUCCGACUGAGAAGAAAGAGUAGAUGUAUAUCAUUUAUGUAUGCUGGGAAAAUACAUUGUUCUGGUCGCCGUGAAAUUUCCGCAGUGGAGAGUGUGUGUAUGCGUCAUGGUGAUGAGGUAGAGUUGGAUGGCAUAUGUGCAUUUCUGUUCUUAGUUGAGACGAGUUACUUGCAUGCGGUGGGUGUUUGACGGAAUGCUUCACUAGCAUCCUAUAGAAACGCGCACAUGCGUGUACCUAGACAUCACCUUAUGGGAUUUCUUUGUUAUCUUGCUCACGUGGUAGAUGGGAUUUGCUCCUCUAAGUGACCAUCACACAAGAGAUCUCGAUGCCCAAAUCAUUUCCUGGUCCUUUGCUUUCUAUUUGCGGUUCUUACAGGAAACAUAAUCCUGCUUAUAUAUCAAUUCGUUCCAACUAGACAUGUUAGUUUGUUGGGGCUAAUUAAUUGGUUCCCGGUGCAAAUUCGGUGGGUUAGAUGAGUCAACAACAUGUUUGCUUCAUGGGGUGGAUUGGGCUGUAUUGGAUGGGUCACAUGGGUUGAGUUUACUUCAUCUGGCCACCAUUGAUAAACAUACAUGCCACUAAGUUCAGGAAAGGCUUAGGUGCCCACAGAUGAUACAAGCACAUUGUUGCAGGGUGCUCACGAAACCGCCUUUGAGAAGUAUCGGGAUCCUGGAACAUCUAAGAUUUCUACAUGAACCUUUAUGCAAGUAAUUUAAUUUUACUCCUUUUCAUGGCUGAAAUGAUUUCUGCCUGGACACUAUACGCUAUGCCAGGAUUGUUGUUUGCAUAGUCACACUUUGAUUUUAUUGUUUGUUUAUACAACACGGCUGGAAAUCCAAUGAUUUAUGGUAAUAAUUCUGGAGAUAACUACUCUUUUGUGUCACUUGACCCCACUCUCUUACCCACCAGAUGAUAUAAAAAGUGAGAUCUUUCCAUUGUUCAAAUUUGGGAAACAGAAGAAAAUAACUGUCUUUUUUUUGGGGUGGCACUCACAUGUCUCCUUUUCCUCAGCUCAGCCACAACAAGGCAUUGCAAAGAGCCAUCACAUAGCUACAAUGUGUGGAGUAAUUAUUGGUACAAUAGCUUUUUUGCUGUUGGAGUUGGUACACUUCUUUGGUGGCAUCACAGGCAAAAACAGCAUAUCUUUUUUGGUGUUAAUGGGCAUAUCUGGUACAUUGGACAGAGAAGACAAUUCAUGUUCAAGCGAGUGUUGAGUCUGCCUGGACGCCUAGGAAACAAGGAAUCACUGUUUCCCAUGGCGAGCUGGAGAUACCUGGAUGACUGGACAUGCGUAGACAACGCCUUUGAAACACUAUACAACUGUUUUCUGUCUUCGCUCUCACUAAUAAGGAAAUUAAACUUCUCCACAUAUGGUUCGAAUGAGCCAUACCUUGUAGAUUCCACUGCUGGGAUCCUGGGAUACCCAUGAACCCUUGAGUAUGCAGAAACUCCAGUAGGCCUUAUUACCUUAAUUGUGUCUAAAUAAAAUAGGUAGCGAGCUUUUAUGUUUGACAAGUGUAGGUACCAUCCUUGAGACAAUAGAAACCUCACCUUUGCUGAAGUA